GAUCACCCACAGUGCCCCAACAUCACCCAGCCCACCUCAGCACCAGCAUAACACCCGCCUGGAGCACGUAAAGAAGGGAAGGAGGGCAAUGCCCACCAGCGCUGGAGAGGGCAGCAGGAAAGGGAACAGAACUACAGCGUUAAGUGAGGAGUUACUAUAACAGACCAGACCAACAAAGGAGGUUGUGAAGGAUGAGUAUUUAACCCUUGAUUAUUCCACCCCCUUUCCCAGUUUGUGAGUCCCCUCCCCCCACAACACCACCUUCCUCCCUCAUUUUCACCCAAUGUAACGACGACGUCUCAGGCUUCCUACCUGCUCACCCCUUUCCUUUAACUGCCUGUAACCAGCAUCAACUCCCUUCCAAAAUCCCCGCAUUCCUGUAAAGUCUGCUGCAAAGCCAGACACAAACCUGAUUAGACACGUCAACAGGAUGCUGGUGGGCCGGCGGGGAGGGACUCUUCCCCGCCUGGAAGGUUAGAGGAUGCGGAAGGGAAUUCUCUGCUACUGAGCAAAGGCAGACUGGGAAACAACUUCUCUUCUGCCUGGAAGUGUCUGCUCCUGGCCAGUCCCCAGGUGGAGGGGGCUCCUGCUGGACAGCAGGCUCCAGGGAAAUGGCCUCUCCUUGCCCUGUGGAUAGUUUCCUGACCGGCUGAGUUAACAAGUCAGGAGUACACGGGUCUGUUUAGAUUGGGAGAGAGAAAUGAGCCCAGCAGGAAGGCCAAAAAAAAAAAAAAAGCUGUGCGCAAUGGUCCUGGCUCUCCUUUCGCUCACGGCGCUGUAAGCCUGGAGUCACUGCACUCAAAUCAGUGAUGGGAAGCCUGGGGGCGGGGGGGAAAAGGGGAUCAGGCCCUGUACAUACCUCCCCCGCCCACAUCCCUCGCCUGCUCCCAAGUGAUGGCUUAGUUCUGCAGAAGAGCAAAAAUGGCAGAGAUUUACAAUUGCAAAACGUGAGGUUUUCCUCAGCUGGAGAUUUUCAUGUGCCGGGUCACGAGUGGAAUGAGACAGUGUCUGUGAGUGGGGCCCAUGGACCCUUCACUUCCCGCAGUGAUGGUUAUCGGACGAGUAACAGCCAUCGGACAAUGAGCGUUUGCUGCAGUGGCACGUGCGUUAGUGUUAUUGUUUAUUGUUUGUGUUGCAGUAGCAUCUAGCAGUCCCACGCGUGGACCAGGGUCCCUGCCCCAGAGACCUUAUAAGGCACAGAAUUCUGAGUCCCUUAGCCGAGCACCUGUUUGACUCCCCCCACUGCCCUAGGGACGGAUAAAAGCUUUGUGGCUGCUACGUUGAAUUCUCAAUGAAAACAGAAAAUACCACUUGUGUUUCCUUACUAAAUUGCGUGGAAACAAACCUCUCUUCCCGAGUAGCUUCUAAUUCUCCAGCCUCCUGGGACUAUUAUUUAGAAACGUAGUAAUGACCGUUAACAUGUAAUCAUAAUAAAUCCUUCGCUCUCAUCUUGGGAUCCCAAAGAGCUCUGCAAGUAGUCAUCAGAUGCAGCCACCCUCACUGUAUGGCAUCUAAGCAUCACCAUCUCCCCUUUGAAAAUGGGGAAAUGGAGGCACACAGAUGUGGCUUGCCUGAGAUCGCACAGCAAAUCGGUAUCCCAGCCAGGAAGAGAACCCAGGGCUCCCAUGCUGUAAACCCUGAUCUCCGUUGCGGUCUCAGUUAAGCCUUUCCCAAACCUUUCAAAAGCCAGGUCCUCUGCUGCUAUAAAUCAAAGUCGUUUCAUUCACUUCACUGGAAUGACACUGAUUUACACCAGCGGAGGAUGUGGCCCUGUGUAUUGAAAUGAAGAAACAAACUAUGAUCUCAACCCUACGAGUCCCUGACAUGCAGAGCUUCGACUGACUUCGGCAGGAGUCCCUGCUGCAGAGGGCUUUGCAAGCUGUCAGUGGGUUUGUCAAGUAAAGGUUUUGCAGUAAAAAAUGCUUAACUUUUAACAGGAUUAAGUUGCUUAACACGGUCUGCUAUAUGCCCUCGCUGGCACCGUCCCUCCGCAGGGCCAUAGCAGUGCCAGUUUUUGACCUAGUUAUGCAACCCUGUAAAAAUGCCGCUCUCUUUUGCUCCUCUUGGUAUCCCGCCCUGCCCAUUCGCUACUGGAAUAGUGCACGGAGACCUUGCUGCUGUUUAAGGCUAGACGCUGCCAGGAGCGCCGCCAGCUUUUCUGCCGCCCUAAGCGGUGGAAGGUCCCGCCCCGAAAUGCCGCCCCCCACAGAGGCAGUGGAAGGUCCCGCCGCCGAAAUACUGCUGUGGCCGCCGCCCCCCAAAUUGUAGUGCCCUAGGUGACCGCCUAGGUCGCCUAAUGGGUUGCGCGGGCCCUGGACGCUGCCCAGUGCCGUUCACAUGGCAGACGCCCACUGUAAUUUUGCCCAGCCAAGUUGUUCUUUCUUUCCAGUCUGAAUAGCUCAGUGCGAGCGGCUGAGUGGAAUCACUGUGCCCAGCAAACAGGAGCUAAAAUCUCAUUGUGUUUGGGAUCAGCAUUGGACACAGUUUAAGGCCAGACUGGAUCCCCAACGCUGUGUCUGUUCUCAUCCCCGCCUCCUCUGAUCCACCCCCAACGUCCCCCAUUUCUCCUGCCUCAGUGGGUGGGAUUUUCAGAGGGGCUGUACACCUGAAGCUCCCACUGAUUUUAGCAGGAAUUCUCCGGAGUGCUCAACACUUCUGAAAAUCAGGCCUAGUUCCUGUUCCCAAAGUGACCUCUGUCCCUGAAACGCCCUCCUCCAAAGCUCUUGUAAACUGAAAUCCCUCCAACACAUUCAAUAGGGACACGUCGCCCACCAGAAGUUAAUAAUAAAUCUAACUUAUCUGAACCACCACAUGGCCCAGUCUUCUGAGGAAACCGUGCAGGCCUGAUCACUGUAACCCUUGUCCCAUCCUGUGUUUGUUAAUGACCCUCACUUGUGUCCAAACUGAGGCUGCAAGAUCGCCAGGACGCAGACCGUGUCCUUCUUGGUUUCCAUUGAGAUGCCUGCUUCACUUUUGGAAAGCCAGAAAAAUCACUCCUAUAAAUCAUCUACACAGAACCUCGAUAUUCAUGCCUAGCAUCACAGUGUCCAGAUUCUAUAUCUGAAUAACACCGAGAGGUUUUGGCUCAGGCCGCAGAUCCCAACCCACCUCACAUCUUGGCUGUAGCAGGGGUGCACCCUAGUAGACAUUAUACACAGUGAUGCUGUCAUACAAAAAGUAUCCCCUCUUUAGAGGCCACUGAAAAGUAGAUAAUUCUGUUCCUGGCUCUACCACGGGCCCCUGUAGGACUUGGAGCAAGUCACUUAAUCUCUCUGGGCCAAAGUGCUCCAUCUAUAAAGUGGGCCUCAUUGAUGUGUGUAUUAAGGUAGUGAACAGAGGCCACACUCAGGGAUCUGGGCCCCAUUGUUGCUCUCCCUCUGGACUGUCAAAAGACAGACCCUUCCCCAAAGAGUUUACAAUCCAAGUAUAAUGAAAUGAGACAACCGGUGGAUACAGACAGGUGGGGUGAGUCCAAGGUAACAGCACGACGAUUACGAUACAUUUGUACCACACUCAUCAUAUCAUUUUGAUAUUUCUUCAGUGACUCGGAUAAUGGAAUGGAGAAUAUGCUUAUAACAUUUGCGACACAAGCAGAGAGACAGGUUGCAAGCAUUCGGGAGGACAGGAUUAGAAUUCAAAAUGACUUUGAGAAAUUGGAAAAUUGGCCUGAAAUCAGCAAGAUGAAAUCCAAUAAAGAUAAAUGCAAAGUACAGUACUGAGGAAGGGGAAAAAAUCAUCAAAUGCACAACUACAAAAUGAGGAAUAACUGUCUAGGUGGUAGUACUGCAGAAAAGGAUCUGGGGUUAUAGUAGAUCACAAAUUGAGUAUGAGACAAUGUGAUGCAGUUGUGAAUAAAGCUAAUAUCAUUUUCAGGCAUAUUAACAAGAGUGUCAUAUGUAAGACACGGCAGGAAAUUGUUCCUCUCUACGCGGCACUGGUGAGGGCUCGGCUGAAGUAACGUGUCCAGUUCUGGGUGCCCCACUUUAGGAAAGGUGUGGGUAAAAUGGAGAAAGUUGAGAGAAAAGCAACAAAAAUGAUAAAAGGUUUAGAAAACCUGACCUAUGAGGAGAGGUUAAAAAAAAACUAGGCAUGUUUAGUCUUGAGAAAAUAGACUGAGGGGGACCUGAAAAGAGUCAUCCAAUCUGUUAAGGGCUGUUAUAAAGAGGAUGGGGAUCAAUUGUUCUCCGUGUGCACUGAAGUUAGGACAAGAAGUAAAUGUCUUAAUCUGUAGCAAGGGUGAUUAAGGUUGGAUAUUAAGAAAAACUUUCUAACUAAAAGGAUAGUUUUAGGUUCUGCAGUAGGCUUCCAAGAGAGGCUGUCAAAUCCCCAUCACUGGAGGUUUUUAAGAACAGGUUGGACAAACACCUGUCCGGGAUGGUCUAUGUGUCCUGCCUCAGCAUAGGGGGCUAGACUUGGUGACCUCUCGAGAUCCCUUCCAGCCCUAUGAUCAGCACGAUCAGCAGUAGUCACACCCUGCCAGCUCUGCAAUCAGUGUGGAUUGAUCUGCAAGCACCACAGCACAGGCAAAUUUGGGGGAGAAAUUUCGCUUUCCCAUUAGCUCUUCCUCUGUCACCCCUCCUGUUUUCUUUUCCCUUUGUCCCUAAUUCCUUUACUGUUCACAGCUUGGCAGUUCAAGUAGAAACGGCAUAACCACAAAAGAUCAACUUUUCAACACCCAAAGGGGAAUGUUUAUUUUAUGCAAAGGACCAGUUGCUUCUUUAUGGCCAUUAAGAAGCCCCUUUAUCUCCAAAGCUCUUUACAAACAUCAGCCAAGUAAUCCAGCUUCACAACACCACAUCUCAGGGAGGAGAGCAUCACUGCGCCCGUUUGACACAUGGUGGAACUUACCUCCGGGUCCGGCGGUAAGCAAUCGAUCUUCUGGGAUCGAUCCUAGAAGUGCUCGCCGUUGACGCCGGUACUCCAGCUCGGCGAGAGGAAUAUGCGGAGUCGAGGGGGGAGCCUGCCUGCCGUGUCUGGACCCGCGUUGUGCAGAAAUCGCUCCUCAAAUAUUACCGAGCAACUCUUCCCAGCAGCGCGUUGCCUUGUGCUCACCACGGACAUCGCUUUACCGCUAUGUACUGAACAGUCAGACCCUGGAGAGACAAGGCGGGUGAGGGAAUAUCUUUGAUGGGACCAACUUCUGUGAGUGAAAGAGACUUUCACGCUACCUUGACCCACAGAAGUCAGUCCCACGAAAGAUAUUACCUCACCCACCCUGUCUCACUCAGAACACAGCUACAACAACACUGUCAGACUGUGGGCAGCCCGUCUCCCUUUGCUGACAGAGGGAUGCAUGAAGAGGGAAUGCAGGUUUUCUCAUUGCAGCAGCUGCCUUCUUUGUGCAUCUGACAGCACUUAAGUCUGUGAGACUGUCCAGUCUGGCCUAUGUACAUGGCAGAGGGGCAUUGCUGGCACAUGAUGGCAUAUAUCACAUUGGUAGAUGUGCAGGUGAAGGAGCCCCUGAUGGUGUGGCUGAUGUGGUUAGGUCCUAUGAUGGUGUCCCUCGUUGUUUUUGCUGAUACAGACUAACACGGCUACCACUCUGAAACCAGUACAUCUUGCCACCCAGCAGUUACAAGAUGCUGACUAGUCCAAUCUUCCCCUAAAGACACAGAUGCUUGUCAAGCCAACCUAACUUUCCUGGACAGGUCCCCAGCAGCGAAUUGCCGAAGACCCCAUCCUGAUAGCAAUGUAACAGUGAUCCAAACAACUUGAGUGCCUGCCAUCACAGACACAAAGAGCGUCAACAAAUUCACCAUGGGUUUGAGAAAGCGAGAGAGAGAGUUCAAUCAGUCAGUAAAAACCAUUUCAAAAAGAUUGUCAGUAAAAAUAGUCCGAUAGGAAAAUGCUUCCAACUUAUGAGACGGAUUCCAGCAACAUCUUAAGUGCAGAUACUGAAAGUAAGCAGACUAUUAGUUAAUAUUUUAAAAGCACUUUGAAAAGUGCUACGUAAGAGGCAAGCACUGUUAACAAACGCUUAUGUGAUCUUACGGCACAAAACUGAUCAGGACCCUGAAGACAGGUAGAUUCUUGUAAAUAUUUGUUCCCAUUCAUUGAAUGGGUCAAUCAGGGGGUAAAACACCAGGGAGGGAGGAGAGCUACUUUAGCUAAAGGAAUACGUUGGCACAAGAAACAAUGGGUCUGAACCUGGCCAUGAGGUUCUAACCACCUAAGGAAUGAGUACCUGCAACAGGCUCCCACUCGGAGCAGGGGGGCAAACAACCAAACUGAUUUUAAGAUGGAGUUUGAUCAAUUUAUGAACGAGAUUACAUGACGGGGUUGCCUGCGAUGGCCAGCACUGGACUUGUGACCCAGCAGGUCCCCUUCCAGCCCUAUGCUCUUACAAACAGCAACACUAAAUAUCUACCAUCAGAAAAGCUCCCCCAUCGGAUGGGCAAAGAGGAAAGCAAACCCGGCCAACUGCAUCAGAGAAAAAGCGGGGGAAACCGAUAACAUACUGAUGCGUAUGAACCACAAAUGAAGGUUAGCUGAA